CCUACGGGAGACAGCAGUGGGGGAUAUUGCACAAUGGGGGGAACCCUGAUGCAGCGACGCCGCGUGGGUGAAGAAGGGCCUCUGCGUGUAAAGCCCUUUCAGCAGGGAAGAAAAUGACGGUACCUGAAGACGACUCCCCGGCUACCUACGAGCCACAUGCCGCGGUCAUACGUAGGGGGCAGGCGUAAGCCGGAUUCACUGGGUGUAAAGGGGGCGUAGACGGCGAUGCAAGUGAGUAGUGAAAGCCCGGGGUCUAACCCCGGGACUGCUUUUGGAACUGCGUGGCUGGAGUGCAGGAGAGGUAAGCGGAAUUCCUGGUGUAGCGGUGAAAUGCGUAGAUAUCAGGAGGAACACCGGUGGCGAAGGCGGCCUACUUGACUGCAACUGACGUUGAGGCACGAAAGCGUGGGGAGCGAACAGGAUUAGAUACCCCGGUAGUC
rnacentral:rRNA from 1 species